rnacentral:rRNA from 1 species
GAGUUUGAGUCGUGGCUCAGGAUGAACGCUAGCGGCAGGCUUAAUACAUGCAAGUCGUGGGGCAGCAUGACUGUAGCAAUACAGUUGAUGGCGACCGGCAAACGGGUGCGGAACACGUACACAACCUUCCUUUAAGUGGGGGAUAGCCCAGGGAAACUUGGAUUAAUACCCCGUAAUAUAUAGAAGCGGCAUCGCUUUUAUAUUAUAGCAGCAAUGCGCUUGAAGAUGGGUGUGCGGCUGAUUAGAUAGUUGGCGGGGUAACGGCCCACCAAGUCGACGAUCAGUAACUGGUGUGAGAGCACGACCAGUCACACGGGCACUGAGACACGGGCCCGACUCCUACGGGAGGCAGCAGUAAGGAAUAUUGGUCAAUGGACGCAAGUCUGAACCAGCCAUGCCGCGUGGAGGAUGAAGGUCCUCUGGAUUGUAAACUUCUUUUAUCUGGGAAGAAAUCCACUUUUUCUAAGUGGUUGACGGUACCAGAUGAAUAAGCACCGGCUAACUCCGUGCCA